GUGGGGAAUAUUCCGCAAUGGACGAAAGUCUGACGGAGUAACGCCGCGUGAGUGAUGAAGGUUUUCGGACUGUAAAGCUCUGUUGUUUAGGACGAAAGUGCCUGUUGCAAAUAGUUACAGGUAUUGACGGUACUGAACGAGGAAGCCACGGCUAACUACGUGCCAGCAGCCGCGGUAAUACGUAGGUGGCAAGCGUUGUCCGGAAUUAUUGGGCGUAAAGAGCAUGUAGGCGGGAAUCUAAGUCUGUUGUGAAAAUGCGGGGCUCAACCCCGUAUUGCGAUGGAAACUGGGUUUCUUGAGUGCAGGAGAGGAAAGGGGAAUUCCCAGUGUAGCGGUGAAAUGCGUAGAUAUUGGGAGGAACACCAGUGGCGAAGGCGCCUUUCUGGACUGUGUCUGACGCUGAGAUGCGAAAGCCAGGGUAGCGAACGGGAUUAGAUACCCUUGUAGUCC
rnacentral:rRNA from 1 species